rnacentral:rRNA from 1 species
UCCGGGGCUUAGUGCCGGAGCUAACGCAAUAAGCACUCCGCCUGGGGAGUACGACCGCAAGGUUGAAACUCAAAGGAAUUGACGGGGGCCCGCACAAGCGGUGGAGCAUGUGGUUUAAUUCCAAGCAACGCGAAGAACCUUACCAGGUCUUGACAUCCCGAUGCUAUUCUUAGAGAUAGGAAGUUACUUCGGUACAUCGGAGACAGGUGGUGCAUGGUUGUCGUCAGCUCGUGUCGUGAGAUGUUGGGUUAAGUCCCGCAACGAGCGCAACCCUUAUUGUUAGUUGCCAUCAUUAAGUUGGGCACUCUAGCGAGACUGCCGGUAAUAAACCGGAGGAAGGUGGGGAUGACGUCAAAUCAUCAUGCCCCUUAUGACCUGGGCUACACGCGUGCUACAAUGGUCGGUACAACGAGUUGCGAGCCGGUGACGGCAAGCUAAUCUCUGAAAGCCGAUCUCAGUUCGGAUUGGAGGCUGCAACUCGCCUCCAUGAAGUCGGAAUCGCUAGUAAUCGCGGAUCAGCACGCCGCGGUGAAUACGUUCCCGGGCCUUGUACACACCGCCCGUCACACCACGAGAGUUUGUAACACCCGAAGUCGGUGAGGUAACCUUUUAGG